UGACACGUAGGCACCAAGCGUUGUCCGGAUUUAUUGGGCGUAAAGAGCUCGUAGGCGGUUCAGUAAGUCGGGUGUGAAAACUUUGGGCUUAACCCAAAGCGUGCAUCCGAUACUGCUGUGACUUGAGUUCGGUAGGGGAGUGGGGAAUUCCUAGUGUAGCGGUGAAAUGCGCAGAUAUUAGGAGGAACACCGGUGGCGAAGGCGCCACUCUGGGCCGAAACUGACGCUGAGGAGCGAAAGCAUGGGUAGCAAACAGGAUUAGAUACCCUGGUAGUCCAUGCCGUAAACGUUGGGCACUAGGUGUGGGUCUCAACCAACGAGAUCCGCGCCGUCGCUAACGCAUUAAGUGCCCCGCCUGGGGAGUACGGCCGCAAGGUUA
rnacentral:rRNA from 1 species